rnacentral:rRNA from 1 species
UUUGUGCAUAUCAAUAAGCGGAGGAAAAGAAACCAACAGGGUAUGYGCCUUAGUAGCGGCGAGUGAAGCGGCAAUAGCUCAAAUUUGAAAUCUGGCACCUUCGGUGUCCGAGUUGUAAUUUGAAGAAGGUAUCUUUGGUUUUGGCUCUUGUCUAUGUUCCUUGGAACAGGACGUCACAGAGGGUGAGAAUCCCGUGCGAUGAGAUGCCCAAUUCCAUGUAAAGUUCCUUCGACGAGUCGAGUUGUUUGGGAAUGCAGCUCUAAGUGGGUGGUAAAUUCCAUCUAAAGCUAAAUAUUGGCGAGAGACCGAUAGCGAACAAGUACUGUGAAGGAAAGAUGAAAAGAACUUUGAAAAGAGAGUGAAAAAGUACGUGAAAUUGUUGAAAGGGAAGGGCUUGAGGUCAGACUUGGUUUUACCAGGCCAGCAUCAGUUUGGAUGGCAGGAUAAUAGCUUAGGAAAGUGGCACUGCUUCGGUAGUGUGUUAUAGCCUGGGUUGAUACUGCCUGUCUAGACU